AUGAGUGGCGAACGGGUGAGUAAUACAUAGGUAACCUGCCCCUGUGCGGGGGAUAACAGGAGGAAACUCCUGCUAAUACCGCAUAGCCAUGAGCACCGCAUGGAGCUCAUGCCAAAUAUCCUUUCGGGGAUAGCGCAGGGAUGGACCUAUGGCGCAUUAGCUUGUUGGCGGGGCAACGGCCCACCAAGGCAACGAUGCGUAGCCGGCCUGAGAGGGCGGACGGCCACAUUGGGACUGAGACACGGCCCAGACUCCUACGGGAGGCAGCAGUAGGGAAUUUUCGGCAAUGGGGGAAACCCUGACCGAGCAACGCCGCGUGAGCGAAGAAGGCCUUCGGGUCGUAAAGCUCUGUUGUAAAGGAAGAACGGCGCAUACAGGAAAUGGUAUGCGAGUGACGGUACUUUACCAGAAAGCCACGGCUAACUACGUGCCAGCAGCCGCGGUAAUACGUAGGUGGCGAGCGUUAUCCGGAAUCAUUGGGCGUAAAGAGGGAGCAGGCGGCCGCAAGGGUCUGUGGUGAAAGCCCGAAGCUAAACUUCGGUAAGCCAUGGAAACCGGGCGGCUAGAGUGCGGAAGAGGAUCGUGGAAUUCCAUGUGUAGCGGUGAAAUGCGUAGAUAUAUGGAGGAACACCAGUGGCGAAGGCGACGGUCUGGGCCGCAACUGACGCUCAUUCCCGAAAGCGUGGGGAGCAAAUAGGAUUAGAUACCCUAGUAGUCCACGCCGUAAACGAUGGUCACUAAGUGUCGGGGGUCAAACCCCGGUGCUGCAGUCAACGCAGU
rnacentral:rRNA from 1 species